GGGGAAUAGCUCAAAUUUUAAAUCCGUUAGGUUUUAUCUAGCUGAGUUGUAAUUUGAAAAAGCGUUUUCCAUGAUUUCGUAUUAGCCCAAAUCCUUUUGGGAUAAGGUAUCAUGGAGGGUGAGAAUCCCGUCCGGCUAAAUCGAGGUUGCAUUAUGAUAUGCUUUCUAA
rnacentral:rRNA from 1 species